AAAAAUGGGAGUUUCCAUUUGGGCACGCGCUGAUUUUCACCGAGGCAAAACAAACACACACACAGGGGAGAAAGACAGUGACUGUGUUUAAUGACGGUGGAAUGUUUGAUACUGCACGUCGCUUAAGAGAAAAAAUCUCUGCAUUUCUCUGUAAAAAGCCAUGUGUGUAUAGACUAUCCGGUCACAAAAUGCGACGAAAAUAAACACGACGGUCUGUAAUAGUUUGCUUGCAGUGUUCACAUGUUCACACUUGGAGAGCAGCAUUUACAGCAAAUCUUUCAGUCCAUAAUAUUGUAGUGAUGUUAACGUAAACUAAGUAACUUAGAAAUCAUUUGACUAAGGUCUGUCUUUAAACACUGAAAGAGUACUGCUGACGAUACGAACUAUAACUUUGCCAUAUGAAUGAACAAAGAAAGGGCACUGAUCGCACGCACUUACCAAAUCUGUAGAGACAGGACAAUCAACACCAUCUGGAGCCGUGUCUUUUUUAAAAGGAGACAAGCAGCAAAUCCGGAUUUCACCAUUUCCAGAUGAGAAAAGCUCUUGAGUAAAAAAUGUUCUGUACAAACAUAUUUCUGCCGCGUGUCGUGUGCACUGAUCCACACAUGAGUCCAGUUGCGCUCUCAUAGCUGGAGAAUGAAAACAAAACCUUCGUUGCAGCACAUUAUAAACAAUAAUAAUAAUAAAGUUUUUUAUUCCUUCCCCACUUCUUUUGGCAACAUAACGUGGCGUCCCUGUUGCUGAACACUGUUUCAGGUACAAACAGUCUUCGAAGCUUGUAUGCAUAUUAAUGAAGUUGCUCGCAUACAGAGCUCGCUGAUUGGUUUGAAACAAGUCUUACUCAUGAAUGAAUGC
ensembl:processed_transcript